AUCGAUGAAGAACGCAGCGAAAUGCGAUAAGUAAUGUGAAUUGCAGAAUUUAGUGAAUCAUCGAAUCUUUGAACGCACAUUGCACCUCUCGGUAAUCCUUGAGGUAUACCUGUUCGAGCGCCGUUUGUGUCUAAGGCUUUGCCUUGCGUUGACGGUUUUCCCCGCUAGGGGACCGUCGAAACACAUCGGCGCCCGUCUUGGCUUCGAAACGCAGAGAAAUGCGGCGAGAGGCCUCGACGGGCGGCCUGUCUACGAAAGCAUGGCCUCGGAUCAGGUAGGGAUACCCGCUGAACUUAAGCAUAUCAAUAAGCGGAGGAAAAGAAACCAACAGGGAUUGCCCUAGUAACGGCGAGUGAAGCGGCAUCAGCUCAAAUUUGAAAUCUGGCCUUGGCCCGAGUUGUAAUUUGUAGAGGAUAGUUCGGUGAUGCCUCGACCCAAGUCUCCUGGAACGGAGUGCCUUGGAGGGUGAGAGCCCCGUAUACGGUCGGUCGGCAUAGCCAUGUGAACUUCCUUCGAAGAGUCGAGUUGUUUGGGAAUGCAGCUCAAAAUUGGUGGUAAAUUCCAUCUAAAGCUAAAUAUUGGCCAGAGACCGAUAGCGCACAAGUAGAGUGAUCGAAAGAUGAAAAGCACUUUGGAAAGAGAGUGAAACAGUACGUGAAAUUGUUGAAAGGGAAGCGCUUGCAAUCAGACUUGCAUGCAGGAGUUCCGCCGGUCAUCGACCGGUUCAUUCUUCUGUAUUCAGGCCAGCAUCGAUUUCGUCGGUUGGAUAAAGGUUUUGGGAAUGUGACUUCUCUCGGGGAGUGUUAUAGCCCUUUACACAAUACAGCCCGACGGGAUCGAGGACCGCGUUCGCUUGGAUGCUGGCGUAAUGGUUGUUAGCGGCCCGUCUUGAAACACGG
rnacentral:rRNA from 1 species